GGAAAGGCCAGUCAUUUCCUGGGGGGAGUGGCAGGAGUGAUUGGGGUCUGCUGGGAAAGGCUACAGGAAGUUCCAGUUUGUGCAUGAAAUAAUCAGGAAGAAUGGAGACGUCACAUCCAGGGAACUCCUUAACUAUGGAAUGUCAGAGAAAGGGGUUAUAACAUCCCAGUAGGACUACCGGGUUACACUCUUCAGAUAAUCGUAAUUUAUAAUACACUGGUUCCUACAUACCAUGUUCAGGACCGGGGAUCCAUUACGUUAAGUGCUGUGGAAAGAAACUUUCCGUUUACUUUACAGUAUUCACUAAUCCCGGCAAGGGAGAGAAGGAAUUAUAUGAAGAACCAAGAUUGUUCAAGAGAAUUGGCAAAAGAGGCAAGAAAUGACACCAACUUUGUAAUCUUUUUGGAAUUUGAGUGCUAAAGUAGUGAAGAAAGCAUAAAUAGACUUUAAUGUAUAAAUUAUGGAGGAAAGAGGAGAUUUGUUUUCCAGAAGAAUUUGCUAUUAAUGGGAGAGUCAAUUAUCACAAUUCUAUUCUGAGAGACAAGUAGAGAAUGGUCAUGGAAAAGGGCCAAUAGUGAAACUCAAAUGAUUGCCUGAGUGACUGACAAGGGAGUUAUGAUGUAAGAUAUUACAAUGUCUAGCCAUCUAUACAGAAAAUCUAUUAUCAGAAUGCUCAAUGAGAUAGAGAAAUAAUGCAAUUUAAAACUGGAAAUGUUGGGCCUAGUCCAUGGUGCUGAACACCCUCUACUCCCAUUGACUUUAUUAGAAGUUCAGUAGCUUGCAGAAUUAGAACCUCUGGCAGCAAGUUUUAGAAACUUAAUGAUAGACACAAAGUAAUCGUAUUUGUAUUGGGAGAAGUUGCUGAAAUGGUUUAACUUCUAUCACUAUGGAAUGUCUCCUUGACUAUCAGCUAGUCAACCAUAGGGUUGGAGUGAAAGUCAUGGAGGUGGAAGUCGGCAUGGCAUCUCUCACGCUGACUGUGGGUCAGAGAGCUGAAUAUCAGCCUUCUAACCAGUUUUGCACUCCACCUGGAUAGAACCUGGCUAUUCUGACCAUAUGAAAGUGGAGUCCAUUUCUUCCAGAAAGAUUAGUGACGAUAUCAUAUGUUGCAGUGUCUAAACUUCAGUGUUCUCAGAGGGUAGAAUGUCCUGAUCAUAGAUGUGCUUGCAUCGCAAGAGAUCUUUAAAAAGCAAUUACAUCCGGAAGGCCUAAAUUAAAAUGAAUGUCAGUGAGAGCAGGCUGGCCAUCUCCCGAGUGGUCUGAGGUCACUUUGCUGGUGCUCUGCUUUAAUUUACCUUCUUCAGCUCCAGGAUCUCGCCAUCAAACUCUUAAAACAAACUCUUCUCUGGUUAAGCCACACCCCUUCUUAGGCAGAAUUUAUUAAAAUAACAAAGUCAUUCCCACAUAAAGUUCUCCAAUUCCCAUCCAGUCCAUAUUUCCACUAUGUCCUACUGGGGGCCACUCUGGUUGAGAGCAUGGGCCUUUUUGAGGAAGAAGGUUUUGUGGAAUCUCCUAGGGAUGAUCAGACUAUGGACUCAUCUGGGUUAUAGCAUACAGUAAUAAUCCUGAGUGUUUCAAUUAGUAUUAAGCAGGAUCCAACUCCUACUAAUGCCAGUCAAGUUUUUCUAUUGAUUCCAGAGGGAGUUAGAUCAGGUCCUAAAUCUUUUGAACCAGUUUUUGUGGUAAAACUUCCUAUAAAUGCAGGGCAAGUAAAGGAAAAUAUAAACAUAUAUAAUUAAAAUAAGAUAAAGAACACAGACUAUACUGUCAUUAAGAAAAAAACAAAAAAAAGAUGUACCUGUGAGCAUAGUAUAAUCAAGGAACAGAUGAGAAAUGGUCAUCAAAGAGCCUAAAAUUGUGGUAGAGUAAAGCAAUCUUAGGAGAUUUUGUGAGAACAGUGCAAAUAGAUGACAUGUGAUCAGAUGAGGUGAAUAAGGCCUCUUACUGUGAAUGGAUUUCUUUUCCAAAAACUGUUUUCAUGAACACAAAAGUCUUAUGCAUCUUGUAGUGCAGGGCAUGUCAGA